CACUGAGACAUGGAGCAAUUGACUGAGUAGUCACUGCCCCACCCCUGCCUGGAGCCUCACACAUGACUCGCCUCCUCUCAGUGACCACAGGUUGGUUGAGGGGUUUAACAAGGCUAAGAAGGAAAACAAGCUCAGGGCUCCCACUGAUUGUACAUUAUGGUGAGACGUGGUCUUGUAACACAGUGGUUAAGAAUGUGACUUUGGAGCCAGCCUGCUAGGGGCUGAAUUCUGACUCAGCCAUUUACUAACUGUGUGACCUUAGGGAGGAGGACCUGGUUGAUAGAAGAAUUUAUCUCGUAGUCUUAACAUCCACUGUAAUUCCAAACUUUGAGGACGAUAGAGAUCAGUGGGCUUUGACUGCCCAGCAUGCAGUCUCCAUUCUUAGGUGGGUUCCCAAGCCUGUAAAAUGUAAGCCUUAUGCUGCUGAGGGCCAUCUUGCCACCCUGAGGGAAACGCUGCCUGAGAAUGAAACAAGCAUAAGUAAAAGCUGAGCUGUGAGAUGGAGCAAGAUGAAGGCCACAUGACAUCUUUGGAGCACCUGGAUCUAACUGUGCCUUAAGCUAGUCUAACCCUGAACAUUUCAUCAUUUCAUUGACAUGAGCCCAGGUUUUCUUUUUUUUUGGAUGGAGUCUUGCUCUGUCGCCCAGGCUGGAGUGCAGUAGCUCAAUCUCGGCUCACUGCAAGCUCCACCUCCCGGGUUCACGCCAUUCUCCUGCCUUAGCCUCCCAAGUAGCUGGG
rnacentral:lncRNA from 10 species